CUAUUCGCCAAUCCAAACAAUGAAGGUGCAAGGCGGUGGUGAGUGGUGACAGCGGCUCAGCUGGCUGCCGUGGGACAUACUUCGCUACUCCUCUUCUGGCUAGAUGGAAAUUUCAGCGAGGGGAACACAGGCAGGACAGCGGAGGACCUGGACAUGAUGAUGAGGUCUUGUAGUGAACCAGCAUGGUGCUGGGGCCUGGCCAGACUGAUGGAUCCCAUAAUUACAGUGCCCUCAUUGGCUGCCUAGCACUUGAUGGGAUGGACAAUACUUCCUUCUCAAUACAUCAUGUAUUGUAUGAUGGACAAUACCUCCUUCCACUCAACACAUCAUGUAUCGUAUGAUGUUCUGCAACAUUAACUCUAUCUAACAUACAUUCAAUCAGCCCCAAGUUGUGGUCUCACAUCACCACCUUCAAUGCCCAACAAGAGCAAGGAUGACUAGGGAAAUGUGGAGCUGUUGUCUCAGGUGUCCAGUGCUGGGGGGAAUUGUACAACAGUGCCACAGGUUUCCUGCCACAGAUAAAACUGUGCUCCGGACCAUGAUCAUGGCUUUGAGGGAAAUGCCUCCUGUCCACGAUCGUGGUCCCAUAUUUGACGAGUCACAAAAUUAAACUGCGUGCCUCCUGGCUACUGCUAGUUGCCAGAUGACAUUCUCCCAUCCUCCCUCGACUCAUGGGAUGUACUAUCAGUUGCGUGUGUGGGUGUUGUCAGACACAUUCCUUUUGGCAUGGUUGGCUUAGCUGGUAUCAUGGCUGCUCCACACUUGCAGUUGCCCCCUCCUCCAGACGGUGAUCCACAUGAGUAGAACUGCCGCACUGCACCUUAUUCCCCGACUGUGCUUCUGGUGUGUUCCUCACUGCUUCAUUCUGGUCCUCAGGAGCACCAGCCAGUUGAACCACACUACUUCCAACAACGCUUGCUGCACUCUUGUUAUCAGGGGUAGUGGCCAACUGAUUUCUUUCUUUCACAAUUAACUUGUGCCAGAAGUACGCUAUUUUGCCUUCUUUAGCUUUGCGUAGUAGUGGAAUCUGUUCCUUGACAAGCUCCUGUGAAGCUAGGUACAGAUCCUUCCUUGCAUUUCUUGUAACCACUUGGAUUUGGGUGGUUUUGAAUGAAACAACUACUGUAUUAGCCACAUAAUAUAGUUUUAGGCUUUCUGAUUAAAACAAUCCAUUCAGAAAUGGUAAUUUUAUUUUGAAGUUUGGUCAUAAUCAUACAAAUGGAUGCAAAACGACCCAAAAUACUGAAAAAAAAAUUAUUCAGCUUGGAUAUUUAGUCCUUUAUCAGCCAUUUCCAGUGUUCUGCUUCAAUCCCAAAAAUACAGUAAUAUUAAGUCUCUCUCUCUCUCUCUCUCUCUCUCUCUCUCUCUCUCUCUCUCUCUCUCUCUCUCUCUCUCUCUCUCUCUCUCUCU